UCUCCCUGAGGAGCAGGAGGGUGCGCUCAGAGCCACUUCCCACCGGCCACUCCCGACCCCUGUCGCCACACAGGGGUGAGCUGGCAAAGCCUCUUCACACAAGAAAACACCAGGGGACUAUCGCCAAGGCACUGGGGGGCCUCAUUGUGACAUCCCAUCCCCCCAACCAUGACCCAAAGCCCACCCAUGCGCCUCCAAGGCAGAAGCUCGGUGGGGGAGCACAGGCACGAAUCUCACUGCCAGCCUCACAGAAAGGUCAGAAGUGGCAGGCGCUGAGGCCAUCAGGCGGGUCUUGGUGCCCUGGGGCACUUCUGGUUGUUGUUGUCAUGAUAACUGGGGACGGUGGAGGCUGCUCCUGGCAUUGGCGGGUAGGAGCUGGGAUGCCAAAUGAUGGUCCUACCUAAUGAAGACCUGCUCCACCCCAAAUUUGAAGAUGCCCUUGUUGAGAAACACCGACUGGUCCCUCGUCAUCUGGAUCCAGAGCUGAAGAGGGACAAGCUUGGGGUGUCUGACCAAAGCCAUGGCCCUAGGUGUUCCUGGGGAGCCGGGAAGGUGGGCCAGGUGCUGUGCUCACCAGAGGGCCAGAGUGUGCGGUACCUCCCGCCUGUCCCUGUCCCUGCCCUGCAGGCUGAGGGCGCCAGGCUGCUGUCUGGCUACGGGCAGGGCCGGGCUGGGGUAGUUCUGCUUCCUGCCUCAGCGGUGCAGGCGGCCACCUCCCUCCCAAGACAGGCUGACCUUCCCCACCACGUAGAGCAUGCUGGUGUCUGCGUCGUAGAAGGGAAACAGCACGCCCGAGGAGCCGUCCAGGUCCUCCUCUGAGAGAGGCACGGAGAGGUUGUCCUGUAAGGGAAGGGAAGUCAGAAAGGCCUGUGGGUCGCUCCUGGGGAGGGUGGAGAUGAGAAUCUGUCAAGGGGCUCUGGAUGUGUGUGUGUAUAUGUGUGUGUGUGUGUGUGUGUGUGUGUGUGUGUGUGUGUAUGUGCGCGCGCACGAGAGAGAGAGAGAGAGAGAGAGAGAGAGAGAGAGAGAGACCACCCCUUUUCUUUUGCCGGCAUUUUGCCUUUCACAGAUCGCUUCUCACAUGCCUGAUCACACACCAGUCCUCCCCUGCUUGUUUUAUGAUUUGUUGUGAAAGAUGAUGGAGAUAUAGAGAGAGAAAGUGAUUUGUCUAGUCUUUGAAACUCUAGCCAAGUGAUCCUUCCAAUCAAUACUGCUUGGCCUGGCCCUCACCCUCACCCCCCUCAGCUGCUCCUUCUGCCCACAUGCCUUGGUGUUUCCUUCCAAGCCCUUGCUCCAGCUGUUUCCUCUGCCCAGAAGGUCAUCUCCUUUCUCUCCCCCCAGCCCCUGCCCUGUCCUGGUCCCAGAAGUGGCCACCUCCCUCCACCCCCUACACCACGGCCACUGUCUCCUUGAACGAGAAGAUGCACAAGGUCUGGGCUCGCCCCACCAGCUGCUGGCAUCUCCCUGUUAUUCAUCCCUGGGUCCUUCACACCAGGCAGGCUGUGCUAAGUUCCAGACCAUCACCUGUACGGCAAUGAGCUGGCUCUGAGCACAGUGUUGCCCCGCCCCUGGCUCCCACAGUCGCGAGCCCGCCAGGCUGCAGUGAAACAUGGUAUCCCCAGGAGGGAAGACACAGAUGGCAGUCUGGCCAAGAAGCCUUGGGUGGGAGGAUGGAUCUGCCGGCUGAAGCUGCCACGUGGCAAAAGGGGAAGCCGGGAGUCAGGCUGUCUGGUGGUGAAAAGAAAACACCAUCUGCUUUGGAGCAACAAAACAUCCAUGGCUGGAGGACCGCAGGGGAUGAGCUAGACCAGGGGGUUUCAAACAGUUAUUAGUAGCAGUUUCCACCUCACACAGAUAAACAGGACUGCCAUGUUUAGCUGCAUAGGUUGUGCACUGCACAGCUCCAGGGCAAUCCAUUCUCAUAGCCCAUGGUAUGAAUUGCACCCCCUGGAGCUGUGUGCAGAAUAAUGUGCACAAUCAUCGCAGCACCCUGCACACUCACCCUACAUAAACAGAAAAAAGAGCACUUCUGAUCAGGAGGGAAGAGACCCUGGGGCACCUGGGUGGCUCAGUCAGUUAACUGUCCGACUUCGGCUCAGGUCAUGAUCUCCGUGGUUCGUGGGUUUGAGCCCCGCAUCAGGCACUGUGCUGACAGCUCAGAGCCUGGAGCCUGCUUCGGAUUCUGUGUCUCCCUCUCUCUCUGCCCCUCCCCUGCUUGCUGUCUGUCUCUCUGUCUCAAAAAUAAAAAUAAACAUUAAAAAAUUUAAAGAAAACAAGAAGGGAAGAGGCCCUGCCAGCCACUCCUAUCCCACCCUUUCUUCAUCACAGAAGCCCCCGAAGUGCCUCUGUGAAGCCCCAUGUCGUGAAGGGAUGAGUUUAAAAGCCAUGACUAUGGUCACACCAACUCCAUUUGCGUACAGAUAGAGAAACUGAGGCCUAGAGAAGACAAGGGACUUUCCCAGUUCAUACUGCAAGGCAGAAACUUAGUUGGAAUAGAAUCUAGGGCUCCUAUCCUGUGAAUUUUCCCAAUCCACAGGCCCACAGACUUCCAGCUUGGCCGUCAACGGGGCAAUGGGAAGCUUCUCUGGCCAGGGCCCAGCCCAACCCAUCCCCUCCGGGCAGAUUAAUGGGUUGAACAGUGUACUCCCCACCCCCCCAAACCCCAAAUUCAGGUCCACCUGGAGCCUCAGAAUGUGACUUUAUUAGGAAACAGGAUCUUUGCAGAUGUAAUUAAUUAUGAUAAGGUCAUACCAGAUUAGCAUGGGCCCUACAACCAAUGACUGGUGUCAUUAUAAAAAGAGCAAAGGACACACAGAAACACAGAGAAGGCCAUGUAAAGCUGGAGGCAGGCUGAAGUGAUACAGCUCCAGGCCAAGGAAUGUGUGGAGCCACCAGAAGUCCCAAGAGGCAUGGGAGGAUUCUUCCCUAAGAUCUUAGGACAGAGCGUGGCCCUCCUGAUGCCUUGAUAUCAGAUUUCUGGUCUCCAGAACAAUGUAAAAAUAAAGUUCUGUUGUCUUAA